rfam:Achromobacter piechaudii ATCC 43553 genomic scaffold SCAFFOLD1, whole genome shotgun sequence.
AAGGCGGGUCGGGCGAUCGCGGUGGAUGCAAAUCCAUCGAGGAAGGUCCGGACUCCACAGGGCAGGGUAACGGCUAACGGCCGUCCGGUCGCGUCUUCGGACGCGGUUGAGGAAUAGGGCCACAGAGACGAGACUGGGAAGCGGGCGCGCUUUGCGCGCACAGGUACGGCCAUCUCCGUAUCGCGUCGUUCGGCAACGAACGGCGGCGUCUCAGGGUGAAACGCGGCAACCUCUACCCGGAGCAACAUCAAAUAGGCAUGCGUGCGGCCCUCGGGUCGCGAAGGGCGGCUCCGUCCAAGCAUGCGGGUAGGUGGCUAGAGCGGCUCAGCAAUGAUCCGCGCAGAGGAAUGAUCGUCCGCCAGGGCAACCUGGUGUACAGAAUCCGGCCUAUAGACCCGUCUUGCAU